CCCGGCGGCCGCCGGGAGGCGACGCGCGCGCCCCGGCAGCGAGCGCUUAUGAAACCGGCCGCGUUCCGGCGGCGCCGGGGCUGAGCUGGGGUCGGGAGGCGCCGGCGGCUCCGCCCUCGCCGCUCCUGCCCCUGUCCAUUCCAAGAUGGCCGGGAUCCCUUUGUAUUUUGUGGAUUUGCAGGAUGACUUAGAUGAUUUUGGGUUUGAAGAUUAUGGACCAGACUGUGAUAGCAUGAGGAUAACAGCAUUCUUGGAUAUUCCUGGGCAGGAUAAUUUGACUCCAUUGGCUCGUCUGGAAAAGUACGCUUUCAGUGAUAACAUAUUUAACAGGCAAAUUAUUGCUAGAGGUCUUUUGGAUGUCUUCCGAGAUUUCAGUAAUAAUGAGGAAGAUUUCCUGACUGUAAUGGAGAUAGUUGUCAGGCUCUCUGAAGAUGCAGAACCAACUGUACGUACAGAGCUGAUGGAACAAAUACCUCCCAUUGCCAUUUUUCUGCAAGAAAGUCGACCAAAAUUCCCAACAGCAUUUUUUGAGUAUCUUAUGCCCAUAGUAGUGAGAUACCUCACAGAUGUUAACAAUCAGGUUAGAAAGGCAGGUCAAGAAGCGCUGCUUGUACUGAUAGAACAAGAUCUCGUUGCUCAGAGUGACAUUGAAAAUAAGGUGUGUCCAAUUCUGUUGGACCUCUCUGCUCCUGACAGUGAGGAUGAGUACAAGGUGGAAGCUGUGAAUAUAAUCUGUAAAAUGGCUUCUAUGCUGAGCAGAUCCACUGUUGAGCACAUGCUGCUUCCUCGUUUCUGUGAACUGUGCAGUGAUGGGAAACUGUUCCAAGUCCGAAAGAUUUGUGCAGCUAAUUUUGGUGACAUUUGUAAUGCAGUUGGGCAAGAAGCCACAGAGAGACUUCUGAUUCCGAAGUUCUUUGAACUUUGUUCAGAUAGCGUUUGGGGAAUGAGAAAAGCUUGUGCUGAGUGCUUUAUGGCGGUGUCUUAUACAACAUCCCCAGAAGUUCGUAGAAGCAAACUAUCCCCACUCUUUAUCAGUCUUAUUAGUGACACUUGCAGAUGGGUCCGUCAGGCUGCUUUUCAAUCCCUUGGCCCAUUCAUUUCUACCUUUGCAAACCCUUCAAGUGCUGGUCUUUACAUCCGAGAAGAUGGUACACUGAGUAUCCGACCUCCUCCACAAGAUACGACUUCCAAUUCCUGUCAAGCAAACAACAAUAUAAAUUUUAUGUCCUCUAAUACAAAUGUUGCGUCUUCCAGUUCAGAGCAACCAAUGGAAAUCAAACCAGAGUCAUCGACUGAGGAGACUUCAGCUGAAGUUAAUACAGUGCUCUCAGUUAAGAAUCUAAAUAAAGACACAUGGGAAGCAAGUACAGAUUGUUGUACCAGUUCUGGAGAAGACUUAACUAGGUUGUCUCAGGGAGACAGUGUUGCUGCUGGUGUCAUAGAGGUCAUUAAGGAGAGCAAUUUUCCAGGAAGGAACUCAAGACUACAGUCUGCUGAGGAUGUAUUUAAUACUUUCUUGUACUGGCGCCCUCCUCUGCCUGAUAUAAGCCAGGAUCUGGAGUUGCUUCAGUUCAAGUCUGAGAAGCACAAAGAGAGCUGCUCUGUGCAGUGCAAUAACUGUGUUGCCAGUAAUGAAAUAAAAAAAGUUCUGGAAAGCUUACAGGAGCACAUAGAUGAUCCAGAUGUUCAAGCUCAGGUCCAAGUGUUAUCUGCUGCUCUCAGAGCUGCUCAGUUUGAUUCCAUCAGUGAUUGUGAGACCAAAAAAAUAGAGAACAGGGGCAAACUUCAGAAUGAAACAACUAUUUCAGAUGAAGCAACUAUUUCAGAUGCUACCUGCAGCCAGGUGGAAGAUGAUACACUUUUAUCCCAUGCAUCUCAGAACGGCAUCAGUGAGCAGUCUACCACCAGUGUAUUGAAAAGCACAGACUUGGAGGAACAACAUAGAGAAGCCAGUGUCUUUUUGAAGAAAGAGCAAGAAAAUAAUCCACCAUUUGAAGAUGACAAGUCAAAAUUACAGGAUAUAAUACCGCAACCUUUAUUAGACCAGUACUUGUCAAUGACUGACCCUGCUCGAGCCCAGACUGUUGAUACUGAAAUAGCCAAACACUGUGCUUAUAGUCUUCCUGGGGUGGCCUUAACACUUGGCAGGCAGAACUGGCACUGUCUGAAAGAUACGUAUGAGACUUUGGCCUCCGAUGUACAGUGGAAGGUUCGUCGGACACUAGCUUUCUCCAUACAUGAACUGGCUGUUAUUCUGGGUGAUCAGUUAACAGCUGCCGAUCUGGUGCCAAUUUUCAAUGGGUUCUUGAAAGAUCUGGAUGAAGUGCGCAUUGGUGUCCUUAAACAUCUCUAUGACUUUCUAAAGCUACUUCAUGCAGACAAAAGGCGAGAAUAUCUUUACCAACUUCAAGAAUUUGUGGUGACUGAUAACAGCAGGAACUGGCGAUUUCGUUAUGAGCUGGCAGAGCAGCUGAUUCUGAUAUUAGAACUCUACAAUCCCAAUGAUGUAUAUGACUACUUAAGACACAUUGCACUAACUCUCUGCUCUGAUAAAGUGUCGGAAGUUCGGUGGAUCUCCUUCAAACUGGUUGUAGCAAUACUACAGAAAUUCUAUGCAAACAAUGCAAAUGCACUGGGAUUAAAUUUCAUUAAUGAACUUGUGGUGCGGUUCCGUCACUCUUCCAAGUGGGUUGGAAGACAAGCUUUUGCUUUCAUUUGUCAGGCAGUAGUAGAAGAAGAAUGUAUGCCUAUCGACCAAUUUGUUGAACACUUACUCCCCAGUCUUUUAAGUCUUGCUUCAGAUCCUGUGCCAAAUGUAAGGGUUCUGCUCGCCAAGGCUCUAAGGCAGACCUUGUUGGAGAAAGCUUAUUUUAAAAGUGUUGGCAAUCCUCAUCUAGAAGCUGCAGAAGAGACGGUUCUAGCUUUGCAGUCUGACAGAGACCAAGAUGUGUCCUUUUUUGCCACCAUAAAACUAAAGCAGAAUAACAUGGACAAUACUUCGAUUGAAAAACAAAACUAAUGUGUUCUAUAAACCACAAACAUCAAAAUGGUUAUUUGCCUCAUGUUCACACUUAAUAUGAAUGACAUGGACAAAUAAGAAAAGAACCUGUUGUCAUCUACUUGAGCUGGAAGCAGCCUGUUCAGAAAUGCAGUGAUCUUCGUUUGAUGACCACUUUUCAUCUACAGCUGUGCAUGAUAUGCAUUAGCAGUUAUUUUUUUGUUCUUUAAAGUUCACUUCAGUUAAGGGAUUCAGUUUCUGGAACGUGAGAUAUAUCUUCAGAAGAAUAUUACAGAGUUUUACAGAGUGCUUAAGUUUUGUACGUGUCUUUCAUGCACACCUGAUUUGGAAGAAACACCUUUUAACUGGUCCAGCAUCCAGUCCCUGAGAAUCUGCUAUUUCAUUCCUGACUAAGAGGUAAGGAGAUUUUAUCUGGGAUAUCUAAAUUCUGCAGUGCUCCAAAUGGUAAAUGUUCAUUUGUGUGUUCAUGUGUGUAUAUACAUACAUAUAUGUUUAUAUACAUGCACCCACACAUAUACAUACACAUGAAUGUUUGCCAUUUAUGUUGACAAAAUUCUCUUAAUCUGCUAGUUUUUAACCAUUUUUCAAAACUAUAAAACUGAUGCUUUUUGGUGGAUCUUGUCCUCUGUUGUGCCCUAAAUCUGCAGUUAACGUAGGACCUGAAAAAAAUUUUUUUGAAAGAUUCUCAGUAAUUUUUUAGGGUUUUGGAAAGCUGAUACUUUUGGGUGGAUCCUGUUGUGUCUCAAAUCUGCAGUUAAUGUAUGGCCUAUCCAAAAAUGAAUGCCUAAUUGCUAAAGAACGGUCUCACGUAAUAACAAAUUAUUUUGUUCACACAAAGAAAGUAUCAUAAGUAGACCAGUGGGAAUAUUUCUUUCCCCUUAUUUCAUUACUGUACUAAUUAAGUAGUUCAACUAAUUUUUUGCAGAAACUAUAAGUACUUUCUUUUUUUCUUUCUUUCUUUUUAAUCUGGGUUGUCUACAAUACUGCAAGUAGGUUCCUCAGCAGGCUCUGUAUUUUUUUGGAGGGUUCAGUUUUGUAUAGGUCUGUCUAACUAGUUUUGUAUUAUAAUGUACAGUAUUUGUAAUAAAUUGUUUUCUUGCAAGAUCAUAAAAUGCUUUCAGAAGUUAUAGUCAAAAACACCGUUGCUAUCACUGCUAUUACAGUAAACAGUAUAAACUCUGUAAAUUCUGCAACAUUCUACUUUUUCUUAAAAUAUUUUUUAUAAUUUAAAACAAAUGCUCUUCAAUACAGACUUUUUAG